CUUCGGGAGGGCGCUUACCACUUUGUGAUUCAUGACUGGGGUGAAGUCGUAACAAGGUAACCGUAGGGGAACCUGCGGUUGGAUCACCUCCUUACCUGAAAGAAGC
rnacentral:rRNA from 1 species